UAACACUGGGGAACCUGCCCCAUAGUCUGGGAUACCACUUGGAAACAGGUGCUAAUACCGGAUAAGAAAGCGGAUCGCAUGAUCAGCUUUAAAGGCGGCGUAAGCUGUCGCUAUGGGAUGGCCCCGCGGUGCAUUAGCUAGUUGGUAAGGUAAAGGCUUACCAAGGCGAUGAUGCAUAGCCGAGUUGAGAGACUNAUCGGCCACAUUGGGACUGAGACACGGCCCAAACUCCUACGGGAGGCAGCAGGC
rnacentral:rRNA from 1 species